GAUGAACGCUAGCGGCAGGCCUAACACAUGCAAGUCGAGGGGUAGAACACUUCGGUGUUUGAGACCGGCGCACGGGUGCGUAACGCGUAUGCAAUCUACCUUGUACAGGGGAAUAGCCCAGAGAAAUUUGGAUUAAUGCCCCAUAGUAUAUAACCUUCGCAUGUUGGUUAUAUUAAAGUUCCAACGGUACAAGAUGAGCAUGCGUCCCAUUAGUUAGUUGGUAAGGUAACGGCUUACCAAGACGAUGAUGGGUAGGGGUCCUGAGAAGGAGAUCCCCCACACUGGUACUGAGAAACGGACCAGACUCCUACGGGAGGCAGCAGUGAGGAAUAUUGGUCAAUGGGCGCAAGCCUGAACCAGCCAUGCCGCGUGCAGGAAGACGGUCCUAUGGAUUGUAAACUGCUUUUAUACAGGAAGAAACCCUCCCACGUGUGGGAGAUUGACGGUACUGUAGGAAUAAGGAUCGGCUAACUCCGUGCCAGCCGCCGCGGUAAUAC
rnacentral:rRNA from 1 species